rnacentral:rRNA from 1 species
CAGCAGCCGCGGUAAUAUGGAGGGUGCAAGCGUUACUCGGAAUCACUGGGCGUAAAGGACGCGUAGGCGGAUUAUCAAGUCUCUUGUGAAAUCUAACGGCUUAACCGUUAAACUGCUUGGGAAACUGAUAAUCUAGAGUAAGGGAGAGGCAGAUGGAAUUCUUGGUGUAGGGGUAAAAUCCGUAGAGAUCAAGAAGAAUACCCAUUGCGAAAGCGAUCUGCUGGAACUUAACUGACGCUAAUGCGUGAAAGCGUGGGGAGCAAACAGGAUUAGAUACCCGCGUAGUCCCUGUCUCUUAUAC